UAUCUUUGGGGGCAAUACGCCAUUCCGUGAGCACUAGCCGGGGCGUAAUUUGUCUUGCGGAAAGAGGGCUUUCCUCGACUCGACUUAUAAAUUUGGUUUGCUUUAUUUCCAUUGUAAUUUUCAUUCCUCUUUUUGUUGCAAGUUUCCUUUCGAUUGUAAUAGUUAGAGUACCGCUUGUACACGGCUUGGGAAUCUCUUCCCAUUAUUUCUAACAGUCGUUUUUACCACCUCUUCGACUGUUAGAAAUAAUGGGAAGAGAUUCCCAAGCCGUGUACAAGCGGUACUCUAACUAUUACAAUCGAAAGGAAACUUGCAACAAAAAGAGGAAUGAAAAUUACAAUGGAAAUAAAGCAAACCAAAUUUAUAAGUCGAGUCGAGGAAAGCCCUCUUUCCGCAAGACAAAUUACACCCCGGCUAGUGCUCACGGAAUGGCGUAUUGCCCCCAAAGAUAAAACGACUUCC